GGGGGGGGGGGGGGCCAUCAGUACCUCUUGUAUACAGGGCCCAGGAUUUGGUGCAACGGCCCUGGGUGGCGGUAAUGUGGAGUUGUAAAAGCGGCAAAGAAACUGUAUCAAAUCAACGCUGAGUUUAAGAGAAUCACCACCGUUCCACUUCAAUCCAGGUUCCUGUCUCAGCUGGACGUUCACUCUGACAAACUGACGAGGCUGUUCCAAAGGAGAGGAGGACAUCUAGGGCAAAAGCUAAAAAAAACGCAAAAAUGGCAGAUUGUGAUGAUGUCGAUGUUGGACGGGAGUGUAUUAUCAAGGGAGUCUGCAUCUACAUGGGUGAAAAUCCAGAAAACCUUGUGCACGAAUACGCGGCAUGGCAUGGAUGGAGACGCCUUCAAUGCUGCUAUUUAAAAAACCUAGGUCGGGAUUUAUAAAAGAGAAUGAGGCAAGUGAAGAAUCUGAGGACAUUGGAGUUGUCCUCGAAGGCAUCAGGUUGUUAAGAGAUUUAGACAAUAUAGCAUUAGCGGUUGCUAUGCUUUUUGGACUGAUGUACGCACUGAACAUCAGCUACCCCGCCGACCUCCAGUACACCUUUGAGGUAGUACAGAAGAUACUAAUGGACAUGGAUGUGGGUAAACUUUCAAACAAAGUACUCGCACUGAAAAACCGUCUCUUCCAAUGAACGGGUCAAACAAAGCGCUGCCUCUCGGUAAACCUCAGAUGAUCACUGGCCUUAAUUUGUGUUAUUCAUUUCUGUUCCUUAUUUGGUGUAUAAACAUGUGUUGCUCUAGGUAUUCUAGGUUUAUAUUGAUAGUGAUAAGUUUAUUUUUUGUGUGUUGAGCCACUGCUGUGAUAGUAUCCAGUUUGUGUUCAGCCACUGCUGUUGAUGGUAUCCAGUUUGUGUGUUCAGCCAGCGCUGUUGAUGGUUAUCCUGUUUAGUGGAAGAGGCAAUGUGCUUGUUACUAUGUGAAUGGAUCUGCACUCUCCAUAUUUUGUACGGAAGCAAGUGUAUGUUUGUGAAUUACCAUAAUGUAUAGCUGUUGGCUAGUGACAUGUUGCAACACAAAGGGAGAGCGGUAAAAAAAUGGGCCAGAAAUUCCCAGUAUAUUGCCUUAUGUUCAGUCAGGGCCACUUCUGAUAACUUUGACUGUUCUAGGCAAAUACAUUUUUAUAUUGAGACAGCGAAAACAGUAAAUGUGGUAUUUGACAGUGAAUCCGCUGCUGUUGAUGCAGGGUAUCGAGUUUGAGUUUUGAUUCAUCUUGCAUCUGUUUACGGCAACUGCACAGAUUUGUCUGUUUUCCUGAAUGUUUUAAAGCUCAAUACAGAAAAUUUGAGUACAAAUGACUGACUCGACCGAUGUCCACAUUAAAAUCGAGUAAAUUCAAUGAA